GUGCAGUGAUGUAUUGAGCUGAGCGAUACUAAUAGCCCGAGGCUUUGGACA
rnacentral:rRNA from 1 species